AUUGAACGCUGGCGGCAGGCUUAACACAUGCAAGUCGAGCGGGGUGAGGUGCUUCGGUACUGAUCCUAGCGGCGGACGGGUGAGUAAUGCUUAGGAAUCUGCCAUUUAGUGGGGGACAACAUUCCGAAAGGAAUGCUAAUACCGCAUACGUCCUACGGGAGAAAGCAGGGGCUCUUCGGACCUUGCGCUAAAUGAUGAGCCUAAGUCGGAUUAGCUAGUUGGGGGGGUAAAGGCCUACCAAGGCGACGAUCUGUAGCGGGUCUGAGAGGAUGGUCCGCCACACUGGGACUGAGACACGGCCCAGACUCCUACGGGAGGCAGCAGUGGGGAGUAUUGGACAAUGGGCGGAAGCCUGAUCCAGCCAUGCCGCGUGUGUGAAGAAGGCCUUUUGGUUGUAAAGCACUUUAAGCGAGGAGGAGGCUACCUGGAUUAAUACUCUAGGAUAGUGGACGUUACUCGCAGAAUAAGCACCGGCUAACUAUGCACCAGCCGCCGCGGUAACAC
rnacentral:rRNA from 1 species